rnacentral:rRNA from 1 species
AACGAACGCUGGCGGCGUGGAUAAGACAUGCAAGUCGAACGCUGAUCAGCCCGUAGCAAUACGGGCUGGUUGGAGUGGCGCAAGGGUGCGUAACACGUGGGUAAUUUGCCAUGAAGUUGGGGAUAACUCGCUGAAAGGCGAGCUAAUACCGGAUGAGAAGCGGGAGCAUCUCCCUGUUUUGAAAGUUGGGGACCGCAAGGCCUGACGCUUUAUGAUAAGCCCGCGGCCUAUCAGCUAGUUGGCGAGGUAACGGCUCACCAAGGCUAAG